GACGAACGCUGGCGGCGUGCCUAAUACAUGCAAGUAGGACGCAGUUGCGAACGGGUGAGUAACGCGUAGGUAACUACCUAUUAGAGGGUAAUAACUAUUGGAAACGAUAGAUAAUACCGCAUACUAGUCGUUGGAGCUGCUUUGUAUUCGCUAGUAGGUAGGGUAAUGGCCUACCUAGGCAACGAUACAUAGCCGAUCUGAGAGGGUGAGCGGCCACACUGGGAAUUAGACACGGCCCAGACUCCGACGGGAGGCAGCAGUAGGGAAUCGGCGGCAAUGGGGGGAACUCUGAUCGAGCAACGCCGCAUGAGUGAAGAAGGUUUUCGGAUCGUAAAGCGCUGUUGUUAAGGAAGCGGUACUUAAAGAGAAAGGGACGGCUAACUACGUGCCAGCAGCCGCGGUAAUAC
rnacentral:rRNA from 1 species